AGCGAACAGACGAGGGGCUUGCUCCUCUGACGUUAGCGGCGGACGGGUGAGUAACACGUGGAUAACCUACCUAUAAGACUGGGAUAACUUCGGGAAACCGGAGCUAAUACCGGAUAAUAUAUUGAACCGCAUGGUUCAAUAGUGAAAGACGGUUUUGCUGUCACUUAUAGAUGGAUCCGCGCCGCAUUAGCUAGUUGGUAAGGUAACGGCUUACCAAGGCAACGAUGCGUAGCCGACCUGAGAGGGUGAUCGGCCACACUGGAACUGAGACACGGUCCAGACUCCUACGGGAGGCAGCAGUAGGGAAUCUUCCGCAAUGGGCGAAAGCUUGACGGAGCAACGCCGCGUGAGUGAUGAAGGUCUUCGGAUCGUAAAACUCUGUUAUUAGGGAAGAACAAAUGUGUAAGUAACUAUGCACGUCUUGACGGUACCUAAUCAGAAAGCCACGGCUAACUACGUGCCAGCAGCCGCGGUAAUACGUAGGUGGCAAGCGUUAUCCGGAAUUAUUGGGCGUAAAGCGCGCGUAGGCGGUUUUUUAAGUCUGAUGUGAAAGCCCACGGCUCAACCGUGGAGGGUCAUUG
rnacentral:rRNA from 1 species